rnacentral:rRNA from 1 species
GACGAACGCUGGCGGCGUGCUUAACACAUGCAAGUCGAACGGAAAGGCCCCCACCUUGGUGGGGGUGCUCGAGUGGCGAACGGGUGAGUAACACGUGGGUGAUCUGCCCUGUACUUCGGGAUAAGCUUGGGAAACUGGGUCUAAUACCGGAUAGGACCAUGGUUUAGUGUCUCAUGGUGGAAAGAUUUUUUGGUGCAGGAUGAGCUCGCGGCCUAUCAGCUUGUUGGUGGGGUAAUGGCCUACCAAGGCGUCGACGGGUAGCCGGCCUGAGAGGGUGGACGGCCACAUUGGGACUGAGAUACGGCCCAGACUCCUACGGGAGGCAGCAGUGGGGAAUAUUGCACAAUGGGCGCAAGCCUGAUGCAGCGACGCCGCGUGGGGGAUGACGGCCUUCGGGUUGUAAACUCCUUUCGUUAGGGACGAAGCCGCACCUUUUUU